CACUCAGACUUCACGUGCUCAAUCGGAGGGACCUUCAAAGGGUCAAGCAAGUUUGGACUCACAAUGAGUGGACAUUUAUUUUAUAAUGAUUUUUCAUACUAUGAUGGUUUUAUGAAACGCUUUAUGAACAGAUUAUUUAUGGUAUUUACUUUCCGAACAUUUGAUUUUGGUUAAGAAAAGGUUAUAUUAUUAUUAUUAUUAUUAUUAUUAUUAUUAUUGAUAAGUGAGAUUAGUUCAAGAAAUUGAGAAUGAUUUGAGAACUGGAUUUGAGAAAAGUUUUGGAAAGGUUUUCAAAACCACCUAGUUAUCCUUUGGUUGCCUUCGGAUUUUAUGAUGUCCUCGGACAUCUCAGUUGCUUUCAAGAAAUGGUUUGUCUUCGGACGAUUUGGUUAUCUUUGGAUAAGUCUGCGCGCGUAUGACCAUGUGCCAAGAGUCUCAGGGAUGCCCGAGCCGUGUGCUGCGAGGAAUGUGUCUCAGGCCGACUUUGUGCCCCCUGAGUUCUGUGAGGAUGUAUCACACAUGUGGCCACAUGUGUGAUACCUGGAAUUGACGGCAGUAGACGAGUACCAGACAACCACUUGAGGGCCUUCAACCAUCUACCACUUUUCCUUCUUCUCUCUCGUGUAGGCAUUUACUCUGUUGUAAAUAAUUUUCUGGCUGUAAACUUAAUUGAAAUAGUUAUGCUCUAAUAUAGUCUUGAAUCCCUGUAAGGCUUGAAGUCAACUGAAAUAACUAUUUUGUAUGUGAACUUAACUUGUGCGUGCUGAACGUUUGGGGAAUUUUAAUUUGUGACUUUGUUUA